CCAAACUAGUAUGAAAUGGAUUUUAGCCCCUUAUAAUUACCUGUUUUUAAUAUUUAACCACAUACAUUAUAACUGAAAAAUUAUAAAUAAGGUUUUAUAAUGUAAAAUUGCAAAACUUUUCUAAUUUUGAAUUACAAAACAAGUAACAUUCUAUUGGGAGAUCUACCAUUCUUUGCCAGAUUUUUCCACUGCAGCUGUACUAACAAAGCUUCCUCUGUGAACAGGGCAGUCCAGUUAACAGAUAUUAAAACAACCACUACUUUAAUUCAAGAAACAUCUAUUGAACACUAACAAUGUGCAAAACUACUAAUCUACUCCACUAACCCUCUUCUAAAAGUAGAGUACUCUAGAGUUUAGUCCUUGACUCUCUUUUCUUCUCUAUAAAAACAGGGUAUUUUAAAAUUCGAUCCAUAGGCUGAUGAUUGCCAACAGUAAAUUUCCCACACUGAAUUCACAUUUAAGCUUCUCACAAUUAAUUGCAAUUCUCUCCUUGACGUCUUCAUUUGUAUGUCUGUUUGGCAUCUCAAACUUAACUUUUAAAAAAUAGGACUCUUAAACCCACACUCUCAAAACCUAUUCAGAAUCUGUUUCAGAAUCUACUUUCUUCCUUCCACUUCCCUCUGCUAUGACCACUUAAACUCCUAUCUCCUUUGAAAUUAAUGGUUCCUCAACAAAUGCCUUUCUUCUGCUUUGAUUUUUCUAUAAGUUGUUUUCCAUACCACAACCAGAGUGCUCUUUUAAAACAUAAACCAGGUUAUGCACUCUCCUUGAUUAAAGUCAUCCUAUAAAUUACCCUCAAAAUUAUCCUGGUUGCAAAACCAUGUAGGAUCUGGCCUUCCCCUUUCAUGUUAUGACACUCCCCUUUUGCAGACCAUGCUCUUCAUACACUCCCCUUUCCAUUUCUGAAACACAUCAAGGUCAUUUUCACCUUAGAGUUUUGUACUCUCUGUUCUGUGUGCCUAGAAUGAUCUUUCCAGUGAUUUCCCUGCUAUUCAACUCAGUUUAAAAGUCACUUCCUCAGACAAAACCACUUCUAACUGCCCAGGUGAAAAAAGAUAAGGUGACCAAAGCUGAGAUAAGUUGUUAUCUUACCCAGGAUUAUGGUCAUCAUGUUAGCACAGAUUACUGAACAAGCGUGACCCAUCAGGUGGGACCUGCAGGCACUAACCUAGUAGCACUCUGUCCCUGCAAAGACACAGGCUCUUUCCUCUGUCUUCAGAAGUCAGAUCUGAUGUUACCUCACCCAGGAAGGCUUCCUGAAUCUUAGCCAUCAUUCUUUGUAAAUGCACCAAGUUGGGGUAAAAAUUCCCUGGCCCUGUAUGAAUGCUUUGGUUGGUCUCCUGUUUUUCCUGCUUGUUUACAGGUGUCUUACAUAUGAAAAAUCACCUCUGUCCAUUUGAAAGAAGAGAUCUAUUACAAAAGAUCAUCAAAGGCCAAGUAGAGAAAACAUACUUGAUGUUUAUAAGAGACUAUCAAUGGCAUAUCAAAGGUCACAAGUUUCUUCUCAUCACAAUAUCAAAACUACAAGAAGGCAAGUCCAGUGUACAAGCCCAUUUCAGGAAUUUUCUUUUGGCCAAAGCAAAUCAUAAGUCUAAAUCCAACAUCCAUGAAAGAUUUUGCCUUCCAAUUUCUAAAUCCGCUGGCAACUGUGAUUUCCAACCUGUCUUCUUCUCAGACCAGUAAGACCACUUCUUUCUGUUGGGGCCCUAAUCCAUGGUAAGGCAGCAAACUGGAAAGGCCUCACAGACAAAGUUAGGUAAAUGUCUACCUUGAGUAUUUCUUUUGAAUCGAGGAUCACAGUCUCUCAAUUUUCUGGGUCUGUUUUUGCUUUCCAGUGCCAUCAAAUCAUUUAUUCUUUCUCUGCUUUUCCAAGUGUUACUCAACUAAGGUUUGGUUAGUUUCAGGCAGUGGCUUGAACAUUAUACACAGAAGUGGAGGCCAGACAUUUGUAUCCAGUGCUCUGAGCCUAGGCAGCACCUCGGUGCCCCAGUUGUUUGACAAUUCCAUUCAAGGGUUAAGCUGUCGUUAGCAUUCAUUUAUCUCUGGGUUUUGUCCUAGUUUCCCUUUCAAAAGUGUUGCUUUCGCUCAGUUAGCAGCAUUUAAAGAUAAUUAUUUUUAGUGUAUUUUAUCUGAUAUUGUAGUUGUAUCAAGAGAGAAAAUUGUUUGGGUAAUUCUAUCCUGCCAUAUAACUGAAAACAGAAGUGUUAGAUUUAUUUUCCACACUCAUGACAAAAAUGUGAACCUAAAAAGUAAAUAUAAGCAAGCAUACUACUCCCAUUAUGAAAAUGAUAAAUGCCUCACCAAUCCUUCUAAAUUCUAAGCUCCUCAAAUGGGAUUCCGUUCGUUCAGCCCUUAAAUGAGUCGUCUUGCCAGUCUCACCAGUCUCAUUUUGAACAACUCCCUUUCUUUCCUUCCUUUCAACAACACAAAUUUGAUUGUGCCCAGACAUACUGUACUGCGUCAUAGUCCAAUGCCUUGUCUUCACUGCCUCAAUUUCAGAACUUUGUAACUUUUACUCUCCCCUGCAGGUAAAUAAAGCCACUCAUUUCAAGUACCAACUCCAGGAAGGCUUUCCUGAAACCUCUUUAACACAACAUGCACACGCGUACACACACACACACACACACACACACACACACACACACGCUUGCAUUUAUGUUUAUCACCGUUUAACUGCAGUUAUAGAUCCUGUGCCAUGGAGUUUCCGGUAUUUUUUUUUUGUAAUGUUUAUUUAUUUUUGAGAGAGACAAAGUGCAAGCCAGGGUGGUGCAGAGAG